rnacentral:rRNA from 1 species
UACAGAGGGUGCAAGCGUUGUUCGGAAUUAUUGGGCGUAAAGGGCGCGUAGGCGGUGCGGUAAGUCUGUAGUGAAAUCUCUGGGCUCAACUCAGAGUCUGCUAUAGAAACUGCCGUGCUUGAGUGUGGGAGAGGUGAGUGGAAUUCCCGGUGUAGCGGUGAAAUGCGUAGAUAGUCGGGAGGAACACCUGUGGCGAAAGCGGCUCACUGGACCACAACUGACGCUGAGGCGCGAAAGCUAGGGGAGCAAACAGGAUAGAAACCCCUGU